GUUACCAUGAGAAGCGCAGCGUCACGCCGGUAUCGCGCUGAUGUACCAUUAUGCUAAGCGUCGUAGCUGAUUUUAGUUCUGGAAAUCCCCGCUACUGGAGCGUCUAGAGAAACUGGAAUCUAGGACCGGAGAGUAAGAGUACUUCAGGGUAGAAGUGAAAUCUGUAUCCUUGAGGGACCACCAAUGCGAAGGCAUCUUACCAGAACGGCUCCACACUGACGAACGAAAGCUGGGGAGCGAACGGGAUUAGAUACCCCGGUGGGGGCAGCCGUCACCCUAUGCGCGUUAGGAGUACCAGUAACUACGAGUUACCGCGUGCCGAUAUUUAUCACAAGAAACGUGCCGCCUGGGAAGUACGGUCGCAAGGCUGAAACUUAAAGGAAUUGGCGGGGGAGCACAAAAACGGGUGGAGCCUGCGGUUUAAUUGGACUCAACGCCGGGCAGCUCACCGGAUAGGACAGCGGAAUGAUAGCCGGGCUGAAGACCUUGCUUGACCAGCUGAGAGGAGGUGCAUGGCCGUCGUCAGUUCGUACUGUGAAGCAUCCUGUUU
rnacentral:rRNA from 1 species